rnacentral:rRNA from 1 species
UACGAAGGGAGCUAGCGUUGUUCGGAAUUACUGGGCGUAAAGCGCAUGCAGGCGGAUCGUUAAGUCGGGGGUGAAAUCCCGAGGCUCAACCUCGGAACUGCCUUCGAUACUGGCGAUCUUGAGUCCGGGAGAGGUGAGUGGAACUGCGAGUGUAGAGGUGAAAUUCGUAGAUAUUCGGAAGAACACCAGUGGCGAAGGCGACAUACUGGCUCAUUACUGACGCUGAGGCGCGAAAGCGUGGGGAGCAAACAGG